rnacentral:rRNA from 1 species
CAACUACGUGCCAGCAGCCGCGGUAAGACGUAGGGCGCAAGCGUUGUCCGGAUUUAUUGGGCGUAAAGAGCUCGUAGGCGGCUUGUCGCGUCGACUGUGAAAACCCGUGGCUCAACUGCGGGCUCGCAGUCGAUACGGGCAGGCUAGAGUUCGGUAGGGGAGACUGGAAUUCCUGGUGUAGCGGUGAAAUGCGCAGAUAUCAGGAGGAACACCGGUAGCGAAGGCGGGUCUCUGGGCCGAUACUGACGCUGAGGAGCGAAAGCGUGGGGAGCGAACAGGAUUAGAUACCCUGGUAGUCCACGCUGUAAACGUUGGGCGCUAGGUGUGGGGGGCCUCUCCGGUUCUCUGCGCCGCAGCUAACGCGUUAAGCGCCCCGCCUGGGGAGUACGGCCGCAAGGCUAAAACUCAAAGGAAUUGACGGGGGCCCGCACAAGCGGCGGAGCAUGCGGAUUAAUUCGAUGCAACGCGAAGAACCUUACCUGGGUUUGACAUCGCCGGAAAUCCUUCAGAGAUGGGGGGUCCUUCGGGGCCGGU